rnacentral:rRNA from 1 species
CCUACGGGGCGCAGCAGUGAGGAAUAUUGGUCAAUGGUCGGGAGACUGAACCAGCCAAGCCGCGUGAGGGAUGAAGGUACAGAGUAUCGUAAACCUCUUUUGUCAGGGAACAAAGGCGGGGACGUGUCCCCGGAUGAGUGUACCUGAAGAAAAAGCAUCGGCUAACUCCGUGCCAGCAGCCGCGGUAAUACGGAGGAUGUGAGCGUUAUCCGGAUUGAUUGGGGUUAAAGGGUGCGCAGGCGGUCUGUUAAGUCAGCGGUCAAAGCCCGGGGCUCAACCCCGGCCCGCCGUUGAAACUGGCAGUCUCGAGUUGGAGAGAAGUAUGCGGAAUGCGCGGUGUAGCGGUGAAAUGCAUAGAUAUCGCGCAGAACUCCGAUUGCGAAGGCAGCAUGCCGGCUCCACACUGACGCUGAGGCACGAAAGCGUGGGUAUCGAACAGGAUUAGAUACCCUUGUAGUC